rnacentral:rRNA from 1 species
UGGGGAAUAUUGCACAAUGGGCGCAAGCCUGAUGCAGCCAUGCCGCGUGUAUGAAGAAGGCCUUCGGGUUGUAAAGUACUUUCAGCGGGGAGGAAGGUGUUGAGGCUAAUAACCUCAGCAAUUGACGUUACCCGCAGAAGAAGCACCGGCUAACUCCGUGCCAGCAGCCGCGGUAAUACGGAGGGUGCAAGCGUUAAUCGGAAUUACUGGGCGUAAAGCGCACGCAGGCGGUCUGUCAAGUCGGAUGUGAAAUCCCCGGGCUCAACCUGGGAACUGCAUUCGAAACUGGCAGGCUAGAGUCUUGUAGAGGGGGGUAGAAUUCCAGGUGUAGCGGUGAAAUGCGUAGAGAUCUGGAGGAAUACCGGUGGCGAAGGCGGCCCCCUGGACAAUGACUGACGCUCAGGUGCGAAAGCGUGGGGAGCAAACA